CCAAACUUUGAAGGUCGAUAUCUCGGUUUCUAUGGGAGCUAUCGGGAAAAUUCGAACGGUUUUGUCUUAGUUUCGUCAUUCUGAAUCCAACGAGACCAUCCGCAAGGUCGUAGCUCUUACGAUAGCCGAGAUAUGGCAUUUUUGAUGCCCAUUUUUGGCCUCAAAAACGGACGUCGAAAACGACUUUUUCAGGAUUUUCAAAGUGCUCUCAUUCCCUUAGUUCUGCUCGGAUCCUGUUAUAACCCGGUGUUUUCGUAAUCUAGGUGAUCCAAAUAAAACGCUGGUAUACUUAG